UGGUUUUAGACGAGCUGCAUUUCUCAGUUUCCUACUCUGCCACCUGUGCGUCUUCUCUUCCAGUUGGUUCUUGCAGGUUCCUUACUUCAGAUGUCUGAUUCAGCACCUGGUGGUGAUUUGAUACCUCCAGAUGUGAAGAUAACACUCCGGUUCUUCUACUUCUGGUCAUGACAAAUUGCCAGCCUCUUCCUUUGUUUCUCAUGUUCCCUCAGCAACUUAACUCCACUGCCAAAGCUCAAAAGAUUGGCCAUAAUGCUGGCAAAUUAAGGAAAUCUUUCACAAGAGCUUUUUUAUUUGUGGUCUUUUAGAAGACAUUCAGCUUUCGCUUAAGACAUUUGACUACCUUUGGUAAGAAUUCUGGUGCUCCUGCCUCAUGGAGACUCUCUGCACUUUCCUUCAGCUAAGAAGCAAAUACGGCGUGUGGUACAGGUCAAGGUAACUGGGCUAACUUCACACAGACUUGCUGGGAGCUGCAAUGAACCAGGGGAUGAGCUUCUUCAACCCUUCCUGGCAGUGCCACCUCUUUGAUCUGGAUUACCAAGGACCACUGAACAAGAACGGACCUUGUGGCUUGAAAACUAGCCCCAGAGUGGCCAUGAACGUUUCUUGCCCCACAUCCCACCCACUUUCAGUCCAUACAGCUGCCUGGCAAAUAGCUUGCCCUUGGCCUGUUUGCAUGCACCUGGGAGCAUCCUAACCUACGAAGCAAGCUCAGGCAAGUGUGGUCCCUGCAGCUGCUGUUGCAGAGAGGCAGGGGCUGCAUUUACUUGCAGUAUGGAAAGCAGUCAAGUCUGCUCUUGAGGGUGAUGUUGGCAUAGUUGAUAUUUAUUCUCUCUAGAGAUUUCUGGGGAUCUCUGAACGCUCUCUGUGACCUGAAUUUGUCUCUGUUGCACCAUUGUUUGCCCCUAGCAUUACCCUGAUGUGGGUGGAAAGAAAAACAUGUUGUCUGCCAGGUACAGCUGUGGGAAAGGGCUAGGUCCUCCUUGCGCUGAGCAGAGCAUGCCCACAUGCUCACAGGAGAAGCCAUAAGGAGGAGAGCAGAGCUGGGGUGUGCAGAAAUGAAGGGCAGAAUCCACAGCUAGUGCAGAUCAACAACACUAGAGAUGCUAGCAACACUAUCCUCACUUGUGCCUGCUGAGGAUCUGGCUGAUAGCAUCCUUCUUGGCCAUCAGAAAAGCACAAAAUGCAAGGUAGCCACAAGCAAAAGAAGAAUAACAAAGCACUUUGCUAGCAGCAAGGGUUAGAGAGCUGUAUCAGUUUCUUCAAUCGCUGCCGGAGUCCCUGCUGCUGGCCUCAUCACCUGCCUGUUUCAGGCAAUCUCUUCUCUAGGCUGCCUCAGCCAUCUGGUAGGAUUACAGACAGAACAAAGCAGCAGAAAAGGAGAAGCAGGAGUUAGGGGAGGAAAGCUUGUUCAUCCUGCCCCCCCCUGCGCCUCCCUUUCAUCCCCAGCAUGUGUAAAUCCUGGCUGUGGCCUGGCUCCGAACGAGCGUGUGUGCAGAGGUAGCCAAGGCCAUUUGAUUCAGCGCCAUUGGAAAUCUGAUUUCUUGUUGGUCUUACACAAAGGUCUAUUAAUUAGGGCUGAUAGAGCUUAGUAAAAAAAUCUGCUUGGCUAGCAAGGGCAGUCUCGCUUGCUCACUCUUUUCUUAGAUCUUGCCAAGAUCUCAAAAAAUAGAAGGAGCUUAAUUACACUCAGUGGAUUAAUCUCCAAGGGAAAGAAAUUGUAAUUAGCUCUUUGUAAUGUGCCACUUUUUUCUCUGCGCUUUCAGAGUUUGUCAGUGUGUCUGUCUGUCCUUCUAUGUGACUAGAACAAAUGUAAUUCUGCACAGCUUUUAUGCUUGCUUUUCAUCCCAAGCCAGAGACGCAAAUGGCAGCUUGACUUCAUAAACAUUUCCAGUUGAUCUUGGAGGGACUGUUUUUUUCCUCAGUUUCUCUCUUAAACCCUGCUUGCUCACCACUUACUGUAGGGAUUUUCUUUUUAGCUUCACUCACCCGUGAUCCCACAGCCAAGUCUGCUCAGGCCGUCUGGUACCUCCCCAAACUCUUUUAGUCCUCCUGUUCAUGGGACUAGCAAGUAAAACUUGGGGUCUGACAGUACCAUUUUGAGCUCUUCACAUAAUGGCAUGAGCUGAAACAGCCCAUCAGUGGUCAACAGGAAUGCAGUAAACCAAGUUCCAUACCAUAUAGCAUUUAGGUUUAUGGUCAAAUAAGUUUGAAGGUGAGCAGGAGUGUUAGGAAGAAAAUCUAAAGCCAGAAUGAGCCACUGCAAGAGAUUUCAGUGAAUUCCCAUUUCUCACAAAUGGGAGUUAGGCACAGGUUUAAAAAUCACCUUGAUAAAUGAGAGUGUGUCCAGCAAAGACACACCGAGUGCUCUGAUUUAUAGCAGUCAUUGGAUGAAGUCAUGUCCCUGAUACAUAGCACCUUUGCAGCUGAGUUUGCAUAUGCACUAGCUAAUUUUGCAGGGAUGUACACUGGGGUGCAUCGCAGAGGGGCAGGCAAGAUCAAGCCCUUCACGUGUACAUCACGGCAGUGUAUCAAGGAGAAGAAUAAAAAAGAGGAAAUGAAAUACUCUCCUAUGGGGGAGUGAGCAUGGAGGGAGCCUUCAAGAUGUAUAUCCCUUAAUCCUUCUGUCUAGUAUAUCAUCAUUCCUCAACAGUGCAGUAAAGCUAUCGCUUCAUUAAGACUCUCAGUCCUAGGAAAGGUGACCCAAACUCCCCUUCCAUCCAUUUGAAUCUUGCUCUGACAGCCAGUGACUUGUUAAUUAUUAAUAUGAAAUAUUUGAUGGUACAUAGAGCAGCUGAACCCAGUUUAAUGUAUGCUCAGGGCGACUCUCUGAAGAUGAAAUCAGCCAUUCCGAUGCUUUGGAUUUUUCUACUGAAGUUUUCCCUUUUGCUCCCUCUUUUACUUCCCUGCCUUUCUUUCUUGUGGCUUUGUGCCUUCACGCUGAGUGUCUUCUUUCAUCUCGGCAAUGAACUUACAGGUCUGCAUUUCGAUUCUCUUCCUUUACUGACUGUUCAGGCUUAAUGGGAAAAUAAGAAACAGGAUACAACCCAACCCCUGGUUUCACCAGCCCUGGAAGCCCUAUUUCAUUCUCCCUUUGGAAAGGGUUAGUCUGUCCAGUGCCACACACUUUUAAACGCGGCUCAUCCCUGCGUACCCCUGAAGUUGGAGCUGUGGCAUUAGCUUCAACUGUAAGAGGAAUCACAUCACCCAGAGUUAAACAUGUGCUACAUGUGGUAAAUACAGGCUUUGGAAGACUUAUCUUCUGGCUUAGGGCACGCUUUUAAGAUGCAAAUCUCCUCUUGAGAAUGAUUUGCUUGCUAUGAGAUUAUCAUUUGCUACCUGCAUGCUUUAUCGACGCACGCACACAUACGUUACCGAGGCUUUAACCACCCCUUCACCCUGGGCACAGCCACUGUUACUUACGGAAUCUGCUGCUUUACAUUUGAAACAAAGGGAUAUCAUUUGUUUCACUCCGAGCAAGUCCUUUAGCACUGGUAUUCACAAGCACUUUUCCUGUCUGUGCAGGACGCAUUUGGCGACAGCACCUUUUAUUUGCAGAGCAUCUCCUGGGCUGAUCAAGAGAAUCCACUGUAGUAAGCCCCCCAUUUGCAGCUUCCUAUUUUUGUUCACCUUGUUGCAUCUCGUCUCGCCCUUUGGAGAGCCAUGUGCUGUGGUAAUACCCAGCGGCUGUGCCAACAUGGUCCCAGAAUCCCAGCUUAGUCGCAGAGAAAAUCUCCCAGCUGAUUGGCAGGAGAGAGCCCCAAAGCACCCAUGCUGUCAUCUCCCAGGGGACACAAGAGCCAGCUCAGUUAAAGCCUCUUUGAAAACCUGGUCAUCGGGCCAUUCAGCAAAAUCUGAAACAGCACGGCUAUUUCUGCACGGGGCUAAUAUCAAGCACGGCAAAGAUGCCAGGCUUUGGAAAUUCCUGAUU